CUCCUACGGGAGGCAGCAGUGGGGAAUAUUGCACAAUGGGGGAAACCCUGAUGCAGCCAUGCCGCGUGUGUGAAGAAGGCCUUCGGGUUGUAAAGCACUUUCAGCGAGGAGGAAAGGUUGGUAGCUAAUAACUGCCAACUGUGACGUUACUC
rnacentral:rRNA from 1 species